CCGUGCCUCAGCCGCCCCUCUGCCGCGGCUGCACCCGCGUUCUCCUACACACCAUUGCCCUCUGCAGCUGCCGCCUCCACGCCGUGCGUGGCCGACGACUGCAGUGGCCAGUGGGCCGGGGAUCCCUCUCCCUCUUCUUCUCUACUACUAUCGCUUUCUCCUUUGCUUCUUCUUUCACUUCUCUGUGAUUUGUUUCUCCGUUCAGUUGGCUGCUCCUCUGUAGCUCCAACAUUGAUUCCGGCGCUCGACAAUGUGUACUUCACGCUCGUAUCAUUGGAGGCUCAAGAUCAGAUCAAGUUUUCGUCCUUUCAAUUUUGCUUCUGCUCAUGUUCUUUUCUUUUUCACGGAGUCUUCACAUUUAGACUGGUUUUGUACUUUUCUAAUUAAUCUGGUGAUACUGUCGCUGCUUGCUUUCCUCUCCCCUCUUCUUUCUUAUCUUCUUGCCUGCAGCUUUUGCAACUUAGCUGUACAAUAUACCUAUGCAUAUAUGGUUAUUAGCUUGAUUUACCUUUUGAAUACAUGGUCGUGCCUUCAGAUUUGAUUUGUUUCUUCCUUUGAUUUUAAUCUCGAUCUGAUGUUUCUCCUCAUUGUGCCUCCUUUGGUGCGGGCUGAAUUGAGAUUUGUAUGAUUCCAGUCCUCAUCUGUUUUCUCAGAGAUACAUUACAAUUUGCUUGCUACGUUUGCUGUGGUUGACGGUGUCUGCAACAACAACACUACAGUUGCAGAUCUUCAGUAGGAAGUUCACAGAGAUGCUCUGGUGGUUGGGGCUGAAGCUCUGAAAGUGACGGAAGAGAUACUAGAGUGGUGCUGCUGAGGUGAAUAAAGGAACACAUCUUGGCACCGCAUCAUGCCAAGCUUAUCACCAUUAAGGAAGCAGAAACCCUCAUUUCCGCAUCACAAAGCAGUGAUGCCCAGAAAACAACAUUUAUAUUGCCUCAACCCUGCUAACUAGAGUAUAUAUGCAGCACCUUUGCCUCGACAAUAAAUCUACUCUGCCAUUCUUACAUCAUUUGACUCUAUACAACGCUUGUCGUAGACAGCUUGAUGCCUAGAUCAUUUCAAAAACUGACGCAUCUCUCACAGGUUCCUGUUUGUCUCCUCCACCACCUCGUUGAUCCACCACCUCCCAUCUCGGCAAGGAACUCCAAGCAUUGGAAGAGCCGCAAAACGCAACGCCCAGUCCCCAACCAAGCGCAUCAACACCAUUGAACGCCCAUGCUUAAUUUCUUAUUUACUAUGCUCUUCCAAUUCUUUUUGCACAUAGCAUGUCUCCUGCCACCAUUACCUGCUCGAUCUGUUAACCACGCUUCUAAUAAUCGGGUUGAUGCCUAGAUUGUUCCACAAAAUGAUGUCUGUUUUCCAGGUCCGCGUGCGAUAGCACGCGUCAUGCAC